rnacentral:misc_RNA from 1 species
AGUCGUAACAAGGUAUCCGUAGGUGAACCUGCGGAUGGAUCAUUAUAGGGUGUUGGGUAAUUGUGAGUGGUUUUAUUAUUAGUAGUUUGAGCGGUGUUGGUUGGGAUGCGAAGCAGGAUUGCCAAGCAGGAUUGCUUGCAGGAUUGCCAAGCAAGACAGCCAACAUUGCCUCACGUUAAACUCUAUAAAUCUAACAAUUACAUACAAAAAAAAACAACUUUUAGCAACGGAUCUCUUGGCUCUC